CUCUCUCUCUAAUCCAAUCCCUCCCUUCAUCUCUUCUCUCCUCUAAUCCCCUAUGCGUUUUGCCCUAACCAUCUUUACGCACAAAGAAGAAAGAGUUUCAGACCCAAAAGAAACUUGAGAGAUAGAGAGAGAGAGAGAGAGAGAGAGAGAGACAGAGAGACAGAGUGAUCAAAUGAAAGCAGAGCAAGAACCACAACAACCAAUCGGAGCCCUUCCUCGAGAACUACACCUCGUACUUCUCACCUCGCGAGUUCGAAAUCGCCGAAAUCUUGGUCGGACUUCCUGACAUCAUCUCCCAAUUAGACUCCCGACCCCGAAUUCGGGUCCUGUGGGGCCACAAGAAGAAGAGAUCUGUUCUCUCUGUACAAGACCAAAAACCGACCAAGAAGUCGUCCACUGUGGUUAGGCUUCGGUUGCCGUCUUCCCCGAAUCCUGCGCCGAAAAUUCCGGCCACUAAUGUUGUCAAGGUUGAGAGGUCGAGCCCCAACACGCCGCUGUCGUUUGAGUCAGAGGAGAAGCCUCCUGGUCAGUUGAGAAGUAGAGUGGUCUCCGUGAAGAGGAAAAGAGAAGAAUGGCUGGAGGUGAUAGAUGGAUUAUCAAAGCGCAAAGAAUUGCUACAAAAAGAGAUACAGAAUGUGAAGGAUUAUAAAGAAAAGCUGAUUAAUUUUAAUUUGGUAUUGCAAUCAAGGAAUCAAGAGCUAAAGAAGCAAAGAUUGAUUCAGGAAGAAGCUCAAUUGAAAAUUGAGGAACAAAACUUGAAUCUUGAUAUGCAAUUAGGCCAACCCACACUCGUACCAACCUCCAUAGUCAUUUGUGCGCCUACAGUUGUUAAACAAGAGCAUUAUCAUCAACAAAUUGCUCCUCAUCAGUAUCAAAUGCAGAUCAUGGAUCACACGGCUCAAACUCGAAGCGCAGUAAUUAGUGAGAAUCAUGGGUGUCGAGCAUCAAACACUCAAAUGGCCUCAACCAAUGGAGUGAGAUUGGUAAGCUGCAAUAACAUGGGAGGCUCAAUGCUUGUCCCUGAUUGCAGCUUUUCUUUUCUUAACCAGAAUCAUAGCUCCUCUUUGGCUACCAAGAAUCUCUAUAAGGCUAUGUCUGCACAAAGAAGGCAGGAGAGAUA